GAUGAACGCUGGCGGCGUGCCUAAUACAUGCAAGUCGAGCGAAAAGACGAGGAGCUUGCGCCUCUGAUGUUAGCGGAGGACGGGUGAGUAACACGUGGAUCCCCUACCUAUAAGACGGAGAUAACUUCGGGAAAGCGGCGCUAAUACCGGAGAACAUCCUGAACCGCAGGGGGCAACAGUGAAAGACGGCGUUGCGGGCACUUAUAGAGGGAUCCGCGCCGCUGUAGCUGGUUGGGCCGCUAAAGGCUUACCAAGGGAACGAGGCGUAGCCGAGCGGAUAGGGGGAUCGCCCACCUUGGAACGGAGACACGCACCAGACUCCUACGGGAGGCAGCAGUAGGCAACCGGCCGCAACGGGCGAAAGCAUGACGGAGUAACGCCGCGCGAGUGACGAAGGUCCUCGGUGCGUAAUACCCUGUUACUAGUGAUGAACAGCUUUGUCCUUAACUAUGCACUUCUUGACGGUACCUGAUCAGAAAGCCACGGCUAACUACGUG
rnacentral:rRNA from 1 species